UACAGAGGUCUCAAGCGUUGUUCGGAUUCAUUGGGCGUAAAGGGUGCGUAGGCGGCGCGGUAAGUCGGGUGUGAAAUCCCGGGGCUCAACCCCGGAACUGCAUCCGAUACUGCCGUGCUAGAGGAUUGGAGAGGUAGCUGGAAUUCUUGGUGUAGCAGUGAAAUGCGUAGAGAUCCGGAGGAACACCAGUGGCGAAGGCGACACGCUGGGCCGUACCUGACACUGAUGCGCGACAGCAUGGGGAGCAAACAGG
rnacentral:rRNA from 1 species